rnacentral:rRNA from 1 species
GACGAAAGCUGGCGGCGUGCUUAACACAUGCAAGUCGAACGAAGAGCGAUGGAAGCUUGCUUCUAUCAAUCUUAGUGGCGAACGGGUGAGUAACGCGUAAUCAACCUGCCCUUCAGAGGGGGACAACAGUUGGAAACGACUGCUAAUACCGCAUACGAUCUAACCUCGGCAUCGAGGAAAGAUGAAAGGUGGCCUCUAUUUAUAAGCUAUCACUGAAGGAGGGGAUUGCGUCUGAUUAGCUAGUUGGAGGGGUAACGGCCCACCAAGGCGAUGAUCAGUAGCCGGUCUGAGAGGAUGAACGGCCACAUUGGGACUGAGACACGGCCCAGACCCCUACGGGAGGCAGCAGUGGGGAAUCUUCCGCAAUGGACGAAAGUCUGACGGAGCAACGCCGCGUGAGUGAUGACCGGCUUCGGGUUGUAAAGCUCUGUUAAUCGGGACGAAAGGCCUUCUUGCGAACAGUUAGAAGG